UGAGUACAGGAGGCUAAGCUCUUGGAGCUU
rnacentral:piRNA from 1 species